GCUUUAUAUUAUUUUUAUUUUUAUUUAUGUAGUUGUUAUAAAAUAGAAGCGAAAUUAAUAUUUUGUUGGGGUGACAGGAAGAUAAAAUAAACUCUUUUUAAAAAAUUAAACAUUGAUGUAUGAAUUGUUGAUCCAUUAUUAAUGAUUAUAAGACUAAGU
rnacentral:rRNA from 1 species